ensembl:lncRNA
AUCUGGGUGUGUGCAAGGAGUAGAGAUGAGCAUUCUAUGGUUUUUCCCACAGAUGACACAGAACCUGAAUUACAAGCUCACAUCACAUCUCUUAUAAUGUGUAAACUUGCAACCACUUAUCCUCAGCCUCCUCCAUGCUGUGUUGCAAAGAGAAAGUUCCAGAAUGUCUUGGAAGGCAUGGACGUCAGUGAUGUGUUAGAAUUGUAAGCUUACUGUCAAAGGUUCUAAACCAAGAAGAAGAGAAUAAUCUAGCAGUGUUUUCCUUCAUAUGUUGUAUUUAUAAGGGUUUUUUAAAAAUUAAACAUAGUGACUUGUGUGGGUGCUUAAAAAAACCCACCAGAGGCAAAGCAAUUUGAUGUCAACGGUACUUCCAAAUUCACUGAAUAUAGCUCAAAUCACUCUUUGCUCUUAAUUGAAUUGAUAUCCAUCUGGAACAACUGCACUAUCACGUGGAAGUCAUAAAGAGGCUGUGUACGUCCUGACUGCAGGACUUCUGGUAACACAAAGGACCUAAGCAGUCCUCAGUGGAUAACUGUGAAAAGUUUAGAAUUUGCAUAAUCAGUUGCUUCAAUUUCUUACCUUUAGGUUUUCCUCCUGAGUUUACUUAACCAUAUGCCAAAUAUCCACCAAAGAUUUGAUAACCCCCAAAAAGGCCUAAGAAAGGAAACAUCGUAAAAUAUCAUGGCUGUAUAUUUGUGCUUUAUUCCCUUCAACGGCCUCCUGAAGCUCACAACGUCUACCAAAACCCACACUUCUAUAUGCACAGAGCCUCAGCUCUGCAUAAACACGAUUCUCCUUCUUUUGAAUUUGUAUGAGCUUUUGCAGACUGAAUUUCAGUCCCCGAAGUGACACCAUAGUGCCAUCGUUCUCUCUUCUUUGAAGCAUCUGAAGUCCUCUUUCGGUCACUUAAAAGUCUCUUAAAAAGCCCUGAGGAGUGAAUUAAUGCCUCCUUCAGUGCACCCCUUUGCUGAAACUGCGAAUGGCAGUAAGAAGUGGUUCGGGCGUUCGUGUCCAGUGGAUUACGAGCAGAGCCAGGAAUAGGGAAAUGUUUUCUAAUCUUUGUAUGGCUGCUAAUUCAUUUAAUGGCAUCAAGCAGAUUUCUUAAUCUCAUUACAUCAUAGUUACUCCAUGUUUGAAAUAAGGUUGAUGAAUAUCCAGCAUUGUUCAUCAUCUUGCGAUCUGCAGCUAUAGAAUAACAACGUAGGCAGACUGGGGAUGACAGAUGAUUCAAAUAGUGUUUUGUGAUCCUGGCCUAUGGCAAAAAUGUAUGUUCCCAGGAUAGCAUACUCAAUACCAAAGCAGUUGCUAAGUAAACAAUGUGGAUUAUGAAAUAACUAAUACUUAAUUAAAAACGGUGUUAAGAUUUAUGAAGUCCACCAAAAGACCUCCCUAGAGACUUUCUCAGCUUCUUGUCUGGAAAAUAUUUUAAAUUUAUUGUUAUCAUCACCCUAAUUAUUUUCAUGAUUCCAGAGUCCUAUUCAGGAUUUAUGUACUGAAAAGAAGAACUAUGUUAUCUAGGUAGGUCUUCAGAAAUUGGCUUCUUCUUGUUGGUUACUCAACAUGUGUGGUUAUUUUGGGGCUGUUAGGGCCUGGUGAUAAAUGUAAAAAAGCUGCCUAUCGUGCAUUCAUCCCUGCCUUAGCUGGGUACUGAUUAGAUUGGCUUUUCAUUGUGCUCCCAGAACAUCGUUUUAUUAAAGCUUUUUGUCAUGACAUGAGACUCACUGUAUUCAUGGAUAAGGCUUAUUCAAGGGAGUGUGACUUAAGGGGCUGGGCCCAAAGCUAGCCAGGACACUGAGGUUAUGUAGCUUUGGAAAGAAGCAGGACACUAUCAGCGAGCAUGGAAAAUAGGUCCUAAACAUAGAACCAGUGGCAGUCUAUUUGAAGACAAUCCUUCUGCAAUGAAACGUGAUCCAGAUUGGUGUCAGGGGACUAUUUGCUAUUCACUGACAUUAACGUCAACUCACAGCUGGUAUUCUUGAGGAUCAGGAGUUUUGUAUUAAACUGGAGGAGAAUGGAUGCAUUCCUGUUUCCAGGCCUUCAAACACUGCAGCUGGGGCCCAUGUUGCAUGCCCUCUUGUCUGCUGCUACUCCUGCCCCCAGCAGACCCAUAUGGAGCAGUGGUGGCCUUGCAGGUGCUUCCCUCAGAGCAGUAUCUCCAAUAUCUACUGCACUGCUGCUGCCCGUGCAGCUCACCGGGCAGAUGAGGCCCUGCCAGCAGCAGCAUGCCAGGCUGUUGCUGGCAAAGCUGGGCGCUCCUGGCCAAGCCUGGGGCAUCUGCAGGGCUCUUUCCGCCUGGACAAACCCUUGCAAGGUUUGCAAGAUGGAGUGUGGGCCUUCACAUAUACCCAUAGUGAAGUAAUUCCUCUCUUUAAUGUAAACCUCUGUAUGAUACAGCAUUUGUCUCUUUAACCUGGCACAUGCCUUUAUAAACACACCUUUGUUUUUUUGCAUGGAGACGUAUUGCCAACAUCGUCAAGUUCCAUCUAAGAAAAUACAAAGCCCAUUAGAAUGAUAUUCAUUUUAUGCACACUUACUUACACCUUAAACCAUACCAAAUGUAUGAGCCUUAGGGAUACGUAGUGAAUUUUUCACCCAAAGCUCAGUUAUUUUCAAUUCAACUGAUGAAUUGAGUGUACUGACUUCAAGGUCACAGGGCAUGUUGGUUGGAUGGCUAAAAUUCUUCAGAAAGGGGUUUGUGUAUUUAUAAGGAUAACAGUAAUAUUCAGAGUGACAUCAGGAGGGUAAUAAAAAUAAUCAAAGGAGUUUAGUGAAGGAAUUAAUACAUUACCAUGUAGAAUAACAAAUGAGGAGUAGGAAAAUGCAAUUCCUCUGUGGGGUUUUGUAUACCUGCCUUCCACGGUGCUGCUCCCACCUCCCUCUGUGGUCCUCAGGGCUGCACACUCUGAGAGGCACACCUCUUUUCCAGCUGGGCAGCAGACACCAAAGAAAUGUGGUCACCGAGCUCUGAUAGAUGAGGCAUGGUUUUACUAAAGAGCACAGAUGACCGUGGUAAAAGUGUAGUGAAGAGCAGGGACUUAAGGAUUUUUGGGUGGUUGCUUGUGCAUGCCCGUUCCUGGCUGCUUGCUUUCCAGCAGUGCAGACAAGCCCGCCGUCCCGUCCUGCCUGGUGCAGCAGCAGCGUGUCGUCAGGCCUUGUGGUAACUCUGCAAUGUGGAGAAACUGGCAUGAGGAAUAUGCCUGUGCUGUGCUGUGAACUACUGGAGCUGACUUUGAGUUCAGCAGCCAUACAAGAAGUCUGGUGGUGCAGAUCUGUACUGGGCUGCAGCAGUGAGAGAAAACAGUUCUCUGUUCCCAUGUUUGACAUUUUCAGUGCCUUCCAGCAAGGUGGAAUAUCCUGACAAACGGAGGUUACUUUGCAUGGCACUGCGGAAAGCAGUCAGGGAAAAUAUGGCCAGAGAAGAUUAAACCAUGUAAAAUAAACAAAACCUGAGCAUUUCUGAACUAUUCUUGUAAGACCCAAUCAUUCCCCUUCAUCACGUUUAUUUCAAAGAAUUCAUAGAUUCGUUAUAUAAAUUUGUAUAUAUAGCAAAAUGCAAAAAUAACCUUUCUCCUUUAAGAAUGAAUAGCUCAGGGUUCUUACACCACAUCAUAUGUUCACAUGAGCAGAGUUAUUGACGCCAGUAAGGACAGCUCUGGGACCAGA